UCUUCCUCCUCCCUCAGCCCGAUCCAACCAAAAGGUUCUUCAAGGCUAUUCCUCUCGUUCGAAAGCACCAGUCUCGAUCGAUGCUCCUUCCGAUCCCCGGACGAGAAAUGAACCGGCCCUCCCUCUUUUGGUGGCCGAUUCAUGUUUGGUUUGAUGAUUGGCAGGGACUUCUUCAGGCCUAUCCUCCUCUCUUGAAAGGGGACUGCAAAUUCUUCAAAUCGCCAAACAAUCACAAUGAAAUCAACAGAUAUCAUCGACAAGGAGUUGCUGGUACUGCGUACAUGGAGUAACAGAGUACGCCUUCGCGCAGACAAAGCAGGUCUCGAAGUACGCGACCGCCACCGACAAGGCGUAAUCGUAAUCCAUUCGCCUGCCCGAGGCCCGAGGCCCGAGGCGCCGAUCCCCC